UUGCCUCCCAACAAUGGUUGGCCCAUUUACCAGUGUGGUGCUGCAUUAAACACUUCCGCGGUUGACCCCUCUCUUAUCCAGGGCCUCCCUACCCCUGUGUCCUCUCCACUCUGCAACAUAAAAUAUCCCACAAGCUUUCACUUCUACUCAGUCUCCGGCAGACUCCAAAACCAGGUUCUGAGAAAAGCCUAAAAGACUCGCGACUUCAUCUUGCAAAGAAAGAGUCCCAGUGAACUCCCUUGAAAAUGUAUUCAGAGGGGCUGUGGAUAUUGGUUAGUUUGUAGAGCACUAGCCUAGCACGCACGAAGCCCCGGACUCGAUCUCCAGAAGCAUGCAAACUGGCAUAGUGGCAAAUAUCGGUAAUCUCAGUACUGGGGGGUGGCAGGGAGAAAGAAAGAUAAAAGAUUCAAGGUCACCUUGGCUAUAUGGUGAAUUCAAGGCUAGUCUGAGCUACAUAAAACCUAGUUUCAAAAAACAAAAACAAAACAAAAAACUGUUCAGAUAGAUUCUCACCCAUCUCCUGGAAGUCAACAAAGGGAUUCCAGGGGUGGAAGAGAUGGGCAAGUUGGCACUCUAUAAGGUCAGGUGUGAAUUUAGCAUUCUGUUUAGAAUACAGUUGUGUCUCCUGUUGCUUUUGAGAGUCAGGAUGUACCAUCAGUUAACCUGCCAGCCCCUUUGGCCCUUGGAAUGAUUUAGGACUUAGAAAUUUAAUCUUCAUGUACAACCCCUUUUGUAGACAAGAUACUUAGUGUCUCUAUCAUAAAAAUUCCUUACUAAGGUUCCCCUAUUAUCAUAUCCUUGGUGCAACAGCAAGACAUCUGGAAAACUAUUGUGGAAUUUAACCUCUCAGCUGUAAUAGCUUUCAUCAGUUUUACUGCCUUCAAUUACCCCAAGGACUCCCCCCACCCCUCCCCACUCCCCCACCCCCCCACCCCGCCCCAGACAGGGUUUCUCUGUUGUUUUGGUGCCUGUCCUGGAUCUCGCUCUGUAGCCCAGGCUGGCCUCAAACUCACAGAGAUCUGCCUGCCUCUGCCUCCCAAGUGCUGGGAUUAAAGACGUCCGCCAUGACUGCCUGGCUCCAAGGAACUAUUAUAUGAGCUAAAACUGCGUCUCCGGGCCGACCUACAGGAUUUCUGGAAGUACAACUGUAAAGAGUGCUUGGUGUAGAACCCGGGGAUCCAUGCACAUUAGGGAAGCAAUGCUACCACUGAACUGUGCUCUCAGCUUCAACCUGUCUUUGGCUCCAGCUUCUCCUGGGCAUCUUUUAAAGCUUCAGAAUACUUGUCCAGCUCAUCUUCUGUUCCUUUCAGCUUCUUCUGCAUGGUUGCUAAUUCAUCCUCUAGCUGUAGGAGCCCAAAGAGUAACCAGAGACAUAAACAC